rnacentral:rRNA from 1 species
AGUCGUAACAAGGUUUCCGUAGGUGAACCUGCGGAAGGAUCAUUACAGUAUUCUUUUUGCCAGCGCUUAAUUGCGCGGCGAAAAAACCUUACACACAGUGUUUUUUGUUAUUACAAGAACUUUUGCUUUGGUCUGGACUAGAAAUAGUUUGGGCCAGAGGUUUACUGAACUAAACUUCAAUAUUUAUAUUGAAUUGUUAUUUAUUUAAUUGUCAAUUUGUUGAUUAAAUUCAAAAAAUCUUCAAAACUUUCAACAACGGAUCUCUUGGUUCUCGCAUCGAUGAAGAACGCAGCGAAAUGCGAUAAGUAAUAUGAAUUGCAGAUUUUCGUGAAUCAUCGAAUCUUUGAACGCACAUUGCGCCCUCUGGUAUUCCAGAGGGCAUGCCUGUUUGAGCGUCAUUUCUCUCUCAAACCUUCGGGUUUGGUAUUGAGUGAUACUCUUAGUCGAACUAGGCGUUUGCUUGAAAUGUAUUGGCAUGAGUGGUACUGGAUAGUGCUAUAUGACUUUCAAUGUAUUAGGUUUAUCCAACUCGUUGAAUAGUUUAAUGGUAUAUUUCUCGGUAUUCUAGGCUCGGCCUUACAAUAUAACAAACAAGUUUGACCUCAAAUCAGGUAGGACUACCCGCUGAACUUAAGCAUAUCAAUAAAAGUCG